rnacentral:rRNA from 1 species
AUUGAACGCUGGCGGCAGGCCUAACACAUGCAAGUCGAACGGUAACAGGAAGCAGCUUGCUGCUUUGCUGACGAGUGGCGGACGGGUGAGUAAUGUCUGGGAAACUGCCCGAUGGAGGGGGAUAACUACUGGAAACGGUAGCUAAUACCGCAUAACGUCGCAAGACCAAAGAGGGGGACCUUAGGGCCUCUUGCCAUCGGAUGUGCCCAGAUGGGAUUAGCUAGUAGGUGGGGUAACGGCUCACCUAGGCGACGAUCCCAGCUGGUCUGAGAGGAUGACCAGCCACACUGGAACUGAGACACGGUCCAGACUCCUACGGGAGGCAGCAGUGGGGAAUAUUGCACAAUGGGCGCAAGCCUGAUGCAGCCAUGCCGCGUGUAUGAAGAAGGCCUUCGGGUUGUAAAGUACUUUCAGCGGGGAGGAAGGGAGUAAAGUUAAUACCUUUGCUCAUUGACGUUACCCGCAGAAGAAGCACCGGCUAACUCCGUG